rnacentral:rRNA from 1 species
CAGGUAGGCGGUUUGGUAAGUCUUUUGUGAAAGCUCCCGGCUUAACUGGGAGAGGUCAAGGGAAACUACCGGACUAGAGUGUGGUAGGGGAUACUGGAAUUCCUGGUGUAGCGGUGAAAUGCGUAGAUAUCAGGAGGAAUACCUAUGGCGAAAGCAGGUAUCUGGGCCAUCACUGACGCUGAGCUGCGAAAGCUAGGGGAGCAAACAGGAUUAGAUACCCUGGUAGUCCUAGCCCUAAACGAUGCUCAUUAGAUGUGGGAGGUAUCGACCCCUUCCGCGUCGCAGCUAACGCAUUAAAUGAGCCGCCUGGGGAGUACGGCCGCAAGGUUGAA